UGGGGAAUAUUGGACAAUGGGCGCAAGCCUGAUCCAGCCAUGCCGCGUGAGUGAUGAAGGCCCUAGGGUUGUAAAGCUCUUUCAGUGGGGACGAUAAUGACGGUACCCACAGAAGAAGCCCCGGCUAACUUCGUGCCAGCAGCCGCGGUAAUACGAAGGGGGCUAGCGUUGUUCGGAUUUACUGGGCGUAAAGCGCACGUAGGCGGGUCGUUAAGUCGGGGGUGAAAUCCUGGAGCUCAACUCCAGAACUGCCUUCGAUACUGGCGACCUAGAGUCCGGAAGAGGUGAGUGGAACUCCUAGUGUAGAGGUGGAAUUCGUAGAUAUUAGGAAGAACACCAGUGGCGAAGGCGGCUCACUGGUCCGGUACUGACGCUGAGGUGCGAAAGCGUGGGGAGCAAACA
rnacentral:rRNA from 1 species